rnacentral:rRNA from 1 species
GAUGAACGCUGGCGGCGUGCCUAAUACAUGCAAGUCGAGCGAACAGAUAAGGAGCUUGCUCCUUUGACGUUAGCGGCGGACGGGUGAGUAACACGUGGAUAACCUACCUAUAAGACUGGGAUAACUUCGGGAAACCGGAGCUAAUACCGGAUAACAUAUUGAACCGCAUGGUUCGAUAGUGAAAGGCGGCUUUGCUGUCACUUAUAGAUGGAUCCGCGCCGUAUUAGCUAGUUGGUAAGGUAACGGCUUACCAAGGCAACGAUACGUAGCCGACCUGAGAGGGUGAUCGGCCACACUGGAACUGAGCCACGGUCCAGACUCCUACGGGAGGCAGCAGUAGGGAAUCUUCCGCAAUGGGCGAAAGCCUGACGGAGCAACGCCGCGUGAGUGAUGAAGGUCUUCGGAUCGUAAAACUCUGUUAUCAGGGAAGAACAAAUGUGUAAGUAACUGUGCACAUCUUGACGGUACCUGAUCAGAAAGCCACGGCUAACUACGUG